CCUACGGGAGGCAGCAGUCGAGAAUCAUUCACAAUGGGGGAAACCCUGAUGGUGCGACGCCGCGUGGGGGAAUGCAGGUCUUCGGAUUGUAAACCCCUGUCAUGUGGGAGCAAAUUAAAAAGAUAGUACCACACGAGGAAGAGACGGCUAACUCUGUGCCAGCAGCCGCGGUAAUACAGCGGUCUCAAGCGUUGUUCGGAAUCACUGGGCGUAAAGCGUGCGUAGGCUGUUUCGUAAGUCGUGUGUGAAAGGCGCGGGCUCAACCCGCGGACGGCACAUGAUACUGCGAGACUAGAGUAAUGGAGGGGGAACCGGAAUUCUCGGUGUAGCAGUGAAAUGCGUAGAUAUCGAGAGGAACACUCGUGGCGAAGGCGGGUUCCUGGACAUUAACUGACGCUGAGGCACGAAGGCCAGGGGAGCGAAAGGGAUUAGAUACCCCAGUAGUC
rnacentral:rRNA from 1 species